rnacentral:piRNA from 1 species
UACCAGGAAUUUGAGGAAACACUCCUGUC